AUCCAAAGCCUGAUAGGACAGACUGACCGGCCUAAGGGUAAAAACUGCCCUGUUUACCUUCUCUGCACUCCAGUAUAUCAGCCAAGAAGAGACACAAGCAAAUGCCAAACUCGUGGAUAUUUUUCCAGGUCUUCACCUCUCCGGUGUCAAAGCGCUCCAGCGAGGAAUGAAGGGCGUCUACUUCGCACUAUAUUUUCACACAGCUGACCUUCUGUACAGACUCCUCGUGUUUACGAGGGCAGUUACAGAUUUCCAAAGGCAAUCUGAGGAGCCGUGAGAGACUGAGACGGUACGAACAUCAGGGGCAGCACGGUGGUACUGGGUUCAAUUCCUGGGCUGCUAGCUUUCCAGUUCCCUCCCAAAACCCAAAGGCACACUGGUAGGUUAACUGGCUUCUGGGAAAACUGGCCCUGGUGUGAGUGUGAGUGUCUGUGUGCCCUACAAUGGACUCCCAUCCAGGCUGUAUCCUGCCUUGUGCCUGUUGCUUCCCACGGUAGGCCCCCACAAACCUAAACUGGAUGAAGAGGUUAGAAAAUGGAUGGAUGGAGUAUUUACUGGGAAGGUGGAAUGUUAAUGGUCCCAUCUUCUUUGAGGUCUUGAGGUGGAUAGAACAGAGUCCAUCAGUAACAGUACAAACAACUCAAACCUGUAUUGUUUGCACUUUGUGGGGGGUAACCUCAGUGGCUUGCUUCAGUUUUCAUAUGAACCAGAAAAAGGACCGAAGUUUGCAUGUACACAUACUAUAAAGCCUAAGAAUAAAACACUGGGGUUUUUCAGAAUUUAACACCCAGGAAGAACGGUCUUAAUCUGCAAUCAUUUCAAUAAUAAUAAUUAAAUAAUAACAAAGCAGC